GACGAACGCUGGCGGCGUGCUUAACACAUGCAAGUGGAGCGACGAACCGGGGCUUGCCCCGGGGCAGAGCCGCGAACGGGUGAGUAACACGUGGGUAACCUGCCUCAAUGAUUGGGACAACCCGGGGAAACUCGGGCUAAUACCAAAUGUGUUCACUCCUUCUAAGGGGAGUGAGGAAAGGAAGCUUCGGCCUCCGCAUUGAGAUGGGCCCGCGGCCCAUUAGCUUGUUGGUGAGGUAACGGCUCACCAAGGCUUCGAUGGGUAGCUGGUCUGAGAGGACGAUCAGCCACACUGGGACUGAGACACGGCCCAGACUCCUACGGGAGGCAGCAGUGGGAAUCUUGCACAAUGCGCGAAAGCGUGAUGCAGCAACGCCGC
rnacentral:rRNA from 1 species